AUAUGUAACAGGUCAAGUGAUGAUGAGAGCUGUGGGGAGAAUAAAGCAGGGAAAUGGACACAGAGGGGAAGACGGACACUUUUUUCAACCAGGUGGUCAGGGAAACAACACUGAAGCAGAAACCUGGAGGAAGUGAGGGAUUGCAUCACAUAGAAAUCUGGGGCAAGAGUAUUCCAGGUGGGGGGAAUGGCAGGAACAAAAGUUGCAACAGGUGUGGCAGAGAGACUCGUAGCUGCUGCCAACCCCUCCAGAACGCAGAGGCCAAAGAGCCAAAGACCACAGCACUUACACUGCAGGGACUUGACCAGAGCAUCCUCAGGAGUGAUAGGGAUGAAGGCCAAACCAGCUUCAUAAUCAGCCUCAGCCUUCCUGCAAAUGCUUUGACAUCCACUCUCCAGGGGAAGAGAAGGCCCAGGGAGCAGUCUGAUCCAGGUGCUGCCAGGAUGCUGGCACAGCUGGGGACACCCAGGCAUUCUAUUUGCGUAAGGACUCACCAGGCCUCCAGGGAUACAACCUGGUAAUGACUUCAGAACUGACAGCCUGGGGUAGAUGCUGCAGACUGCUUUCUACAGAAGAUAAAAUGCAGGGCUGGAGAGGCCAUCAGAAGUGAUCCCACAUGCAGACCCGCAGGAAAGAAGUUGGGAGACAAAGGCUUGGACCCAGUACAUCUUGGACUGGAAGAGCUGAAUGCCUGGAUUCUACCAGGAGUGACUGAUGAGUGCUACAUUUUACAGUGCCAGGACGGAGCAGGCAGGAUCUCGGCCAGCUGAGGAGGAGGGGACAGCGGGACCUUAUUAUGAGUGGGGAGUCCUGACACGUGUUCCAGAGACGUUAUCUUAACUGAUCUGCAUUUAACCAACAUACCGGGUUAUUGGCGGCCCUCCAGUCCCUGGUCAGAAGUCACUGAUGCUCCCUACCAGUGCUGAUGGCUCAGACUUCUACAGCAUUCUUCACCCUACCCAAGCUCUGUUCCCACCAGCUGAAUCAGGAGGGUUUGUUCCCCAAAGUUUGGGGUUAUUUUGGGGGGGGUUUUUGGUGUGUGUAUGGCAUGUGGGAUCUUAGA
ensembl:lncRNA